rnacentral:rRNA from 1 species
UACGUAGGGGGCAAGCGUUGUCCGGAUUUAUUGGGCGUAAGGCGCGUGUAGGCGGCCAGAUAGGUCUGCUGUGAAAACUCGAGGCUCAACCUCGAGCUGUCGGCGGAAACCAUCUGGCUAGAGUCCGGAAGAGGAGAGUGGAAUUCCUGGUGUAGCGGUGAAAUGCGCAGAUAUCAGGAAGAACACCUAUGGCGAAGGCAGCUCUCUGGGACGGUACUGACGCUGAGACGCGAAAGCGUGGGGAGCGAACAGG